UGAGAAGAUGGUAUUGGAAGUAUGGGUUCGAUUCCCAUAAAUCAAGUAUGCAUAUUGGUUUUAGAGGUUCAAAUCCUCUCAUUCUCAUC
rnacentral:tRNA from 1 species